rnacentral:rRNA from 1 species
AUUGAACGCUGGCGGCAGGCCUAACACAUGCAAGUCGAGCGAGCGGCGGACGGGUGAGUAAUGUAUGGGGACUGCCCGAUAGAGGGGGAUAACUACUGGAAACGGUAGCUAAUACCGCAUACUAUCGGAUAACCCAUAUGGGAUUAGCUAGUAGGUGAGGUAAUGGCUCACCUAGGCGACGAUCCCUAGCUGGUCUGAGAGGAUGAUCAGCCACACUGGGACUGAGACACGGCCCAGACUCCUACGGAGGCAGCAGUGGGGAAUAAUGCACAAUGGGGGCAGGCCUGAUGCAGCCAUGCCGAGUGUAUGUAGAAGGACGUAGGGUUGUAAAGUACAUUCAGUCGGGAGGCGUUACCGGCAGAGGAAGCACCGGCUAACUCCGUGCCAGCAGCCGCGGUAAUUC